GACAGAGGUGCCAAGCGUUAGGCGGAAUCACUGGGCUUAAAGCGUGUGUAGGCGGAUCGGUAAGUACCUUGUGAAAUCCCACAGCUUAACUGUGGAACUGCUUGGUAUACUGCCGGUCUUGAGCCAGCUAGGGGCUACCGGAACAAAUGGUGGAGCGGUGAAAUGCGUAGAUAUCAUUUGGAACGCCAAUGGUGAAAACAGGUAGCUGGGGCUGUGCUGACGCUGAGACACGAAAGCCAGGGGAGCAAACGGG
rnacentral:rRNA from 1 species